rnacentral:rRNA from 1 species
UGGGGAAUAUUGCACAAUGGGCGCAAGCCUGAUGCAGCCAUGCCGCGUGUGUGAAGAAGGCCUUCGGGUUGUAAAGCACUUUCAGCGAGGAGGAAGGUGGUGAGCUUAAUACGCUCAUCAAUUGACGUUACUCGCAGAAGAAGCACCGGCUAACUCCGUGCCAGCAGCCGCGGUAAUACGGAGGGUGCAAGCGUUAAUCGGAAUUACUGGGCGUAAAGCGCACGCAGGCGGUUUGUUAAGUCAGAUGUGAAAUCCCCGGGCUCAACCUGGGAACUGCAUUUGAAACUGGCAAGCUAGAGUCUCGUAGAGGGGGGUAGAAUUCCAGGUGUAGCGGUGAAAUGCGUAGAGAUCUGGAGGAAUACCGGUGGCGAAGGCGGCCCCCUGGACGAAGACUGACGCUCAGGUGCGAAAGGCGUGGGGCAGCAAACAGGAUUAGAUACCCUGGUAGUCCACGCUGUAAAACGAUGUCGAUUUUGGAGGUUGUGCCCCUUGAGGCGUGGNUUCCGGAGCUAACGNGUUAAAUCGACCGCC